ACGUACACUCCUGCGGGAGGCAGCAGUGGGGAAUAUUGGACAAUGGGCGCAAGCCUGAUCCAGCCAUGCCGCGUGAGUGAUGAAGGCCCUAGGGUUGUAAAGCUCUUUCACCGGUGAAGAUAAUGACGGUAACCGGAGAAGAAGCCCCGGCUAACUUCGUGCCAGCAGCCGCGGUAAUACGAAGGGGGCUAGCGUUGUUCGGAUUUACUGGGCGUAAAGCGCACGUAGGCGGACUAUUAAGUCAGGGGUGAAAUCCCGGGGCUCAACCCCGGAACUGCCUUUGAUACUGGUAGUCUUGAGUUCGAGAGAGGUGAGUGGAAUUCCGAGUGUAGAGGUGAUAUUCGUAGAUAUUCGGAGGAACACCAGUGGCGAAGGCGGCUCACUGGCUCGAUACUGACGCUGAGGUGCGAAAGCGUGGGGAGCAAACAGGAUUAGAUACCCGUGUAGUCCCA
rnacentral:rRNA from 1 species